rnacentral:pre_miRNA from 1 species
AAUAGAAUUGCUGGCUCAAAUGGUAACUAACUUUUUGAGGAACUGCCAAAAUAUUUUCCAAAGUGGUUAUACCAUUUUACAUUCCUAUCUGCAAU